rnacentral:rRNA from 1 species
AUCCUGGCUCAGGAUGAACGCUAGCUACAGGCUUAACACAUGCAAGUCGAGGGGAAACGACAUUGAAAGCUUGCUUUUGAUGGGCGUCGACCGGCGCACGGGUGAGUAACGCGUAUCCAACCUGCCAUCACUUGGGAAUAACCUUGCGAAAGUAAGACUAAUACCCAAUGAUAUCCAUAGAAGACAUCUGAAAUGGAUUAAAGAUUUAUCGGUGAUGGAUGGGGAUGCGUCUGAUUAGCUUGUUGGCGGGGUAACGGCCCACCAAGGCGACGAUCAGUAGGGGUUCUGAGAGGAAGGUCCCCCACAUUGGAACUGAGACACGGUCCAAACUCCUACGGGAGGCAGCAGUGAGGAAUAUUGGUCAAUGGACGAGAGUCUGAACCAGCCAAGUAGCGUGCAGGACGACGGCCCUAUGGGUUGUAAACUGCUUUUAUAAGGGAAUAAAGUGAGCUACGUGUAGCUUUUUGCAUGUACCUUAUGAAUAAGGACCGGCUAAUUCCGUG